rnacentral:rRNA from 1 species
AACGAACGCUGGCGGCAUGCCUAACACAUGCAAGUCGAACGAGACCUUCGGGUCUAGUGGCGCACGGGUGCGUAACGCGUGGGAACCUGCCCUUAGGUUCGGAAUAACUCCCCGAAAGGGGUGCUAAUACCGGAUAAUGUCUUCGGACCAAAGAUUUAUCGCCUUUGGAUGUGCCCGCGUUGGAUUAGCUAGUUGGUAGGGUAAAAGCCUACCAAGGCGACGAUCCAUAGCUGGUCUGAGAGGAUGAUCAGCCACACUGGGACUGAGACACGGCCCAGACUCCUACGGGAGGCAGGAGUGGGGAAUAUUGGACAAUGGGCGAAAGCCUGAUCCAGCAAUGCCGCGUGAGUGAUGAAGGCCUUAGGGUUGUAAAGCUCUUUUACCCGGGAUGAUAAUGACAGUACCGGGAGAAUAAGCCCCGGCUAACUCCGUG